GACUCCCAUUUGAGCAGGAUGCAGCAAGGUGCCCCAAGGCGGCGGUGAGUGGUGCCCUGGGCUGCAUGGGGCAAAGCGUUGACAGCAGCUGGAGGGAGGUGACCCUUCCCCCUGCUCAGCGCUGCUGAGGCCAGGCCUGCAGUGCUGUGCCCAGCUCUGGGCUCCCCAGGACGAGAGAGACGUGGGCAAAGUGGGGAGAGCCCCCAGUGCCCCUCCCCCACCAGGGCGGUUAGAAUGCGACGCUGUGUUGACCCGGCGCUGGCCCGGCAACGGUUCUGUGCCAACACGGAGCGGCAGGGGCGAGAGCGCAGCUCUCGUCCAGCAGCACUACUGGCACUGGGACGCGCUCUGGGAGCUUGUCUCCAGCCUCCUGGGAGGUGUCUUGAGCCCCACCAGUGUGUCCCACGGACAUUUUCUACUGUUCUCGUCGGGAUGGGCCAGGUGAACUGCUGCCGUGGCUCCAGGUAGGUUCCCCCCAGAGCUCGCGGGUACCCUGGCACAACCAGACCCUGCAGCAGCCGCUUUUCUCACGCCCGACACCGUUUGCUCUGCAGGGUCGAACCUGAGCCCGUGCAGCAGUGCGUGCCCGUUCCGGCGUCUCGCGAGCCACUGCUCCGGCAGCGCGUGCGGGUGACCCAGGGCCGUGUGACGAGGAAGAGGGACCUCCUCCUCUUCAGCGACACCUUGGUCAUCGCCAAACCCCAACGUGGCAGCGCCCCGCGCCCGCAGCUCUGCCUGUCCCUGGGCCAGCUGAGGGUGCUCAGCAGUGGGACGGGGGCAGCCGGCGAUGGCACAGAGGAGGAGGACGGCAAGCACACCACCUCGCUUGUCCUCGUCUGGCCCUGCGGCUCCUGUGUCAUCACUUUCCGCUGCCGGGCAGUGAAGGAGCUGUGGGUCAGCGCGCUCCUUGGGUAAGCCCAGCUGUGCCCAGCCAGCACCUGCCCAGCCCCGUCUUCAGCACCACCACUGCUCUCCGCUCCACUGCCGGGUGGUACCCGGCUGCUCUGGGGCAGCGUGGAAGUGCUCCAAGUGCUGGUAGGGAGGGAAAAGGUGGGUUGGGUGUCACGGAGCUCUUCUCUUUCCUCUUCCCCAUGCACAGACCACCAGAAGGAGUGGAGGGAGCCCGGGUUACCCAAAUGCCCUCCUUCAAGCAGCUGCUGAAGGAGCUGAGGGGCCGCAACGCUGUGAGUGUCCCUCCUGGCUCUGCUCUGUCCCCAGAGGCUGCUCCAGCCCAGCACCAGGUGCAUCGCUUCUCACCUUCUGCUCUUUUCCCCUUGCCCAGGCCAUGACACUGCACGCCAGCAGCCUGGAGAGGCUGGUGGAGAGCCAGGCAAAGGUGAGGA